rnacentral:rRNA from 1 species
AACGAACGCUGGCGGCGUGGAUAAGACAUGCAAGUCGAACGGGAUUUUUUCCUGUAGCAAUACAGGAAAAAGUCUAGUGGCGAACGGGUGCGUAACACGUGAGCAACCUGCCGUGAAGUGGGGGAUAGCUCGCCGAAAGGCGAAUUAAUACCGCAUGUGGCCAAGGAAGACAUCUUCCUGACGCCAAAGCCGGGGCAACCUGGCGCUUCUCGAGGGGCUCGGGGCCUAUCAGCUUGUUGGUGAGGUAACGGCUCACCAAGGCUAUGACGGGUAGCUGGUCUGAGAGGACGACCAGCCACACUGGAACUGAGACACGGUCCAGACACCUACGGGUGGCAGCAGUCGAGAAUUUUUCACAAUGGGGGAAACCCUGAUGGAGCGACGCCGCGUGGAGGAUGAAGGUUUUCGGAUUGUAAACUCCUGUCAUUAGAGAACAAGGUACACGGUUUAACUGGCCGUGUGUUGAUAGUAUCUGAAGAGGAAGAGACGGCUAACUCUGUGCCAGCCGCCGCGGUAAGAC